rnacentral:rRNA from 1 species
AACGAACGCUGGCGGCGUGCCUAACACAUGCAAGUCGAACGUGAUUAGAGAGCUUGCUCUCUAUGAAAGUGGCGCACGGGUGAGUAACGCGUAGAUAAUCUACCUGAUGAUUCGGGAUAACACUUCGAAAGGGGUGCUAAUACCGGAUAAGCCCACGGAGUCCUUGGACACUGCGGGAAAAGGGGGGAACCUUAUGGCCUUCCGUCAUCAGAUGAGUCUGCGUACCAUUAGCUAGUUGGUAGGGUAAAGGCCUACCAAGGCGACGAUGGUUAGCUGGUCUGAGAGGAUGAUCAGCCACACUGGAACUGAGACACGGUCCAGACUCCUACGGGAGGCAGCAGUGGGGAAUUUUGCGCAAUGGGGGAAACCCUGACGCAGCAACGCCGCGUGAGUGAUGAAGGCCCUUGGGUCGUAAAGCUCUGACAGAGGGAAAGAAAUGCGGGGUGGCUAAUAACUGCCUUGCUUGACGGUACCCUCAAAGGAAGCACCGGCUAACUCCGUGCCAGCAGCCGCCGCCGUAA